AUAGGAGUUGACCAUUAACCCCAACAUUUUCUUUUCAGGAUUCCCUAAAGAUGUCUUCACCCCCAGAAUGCCGGAAGUAAUUUUAAGAAAAUGACGCCCAUGUUCCCAAGAGGGGGGAUGGGAGGUUUUUAGUCGUUUAAUGAGUUUUGGAUAUUGUCAUUGUUUAUGAUGGUUGGUUACAAGUUGUUAAUUGUUAAUGGUCAGGAAAAAAGCUGAACAAGCAGAUUAGAUUCAGAGUUUUUGUUUAAAAAAAGAAAAAG